rnacentral:rRNA from 1 species
AACGAACGCUGGCGGCAGGCUUAACACAUGCAAGUCGAACGGGUGUAGCAAUACAUCAGUGGCAGACGGGUGAGUAAAACGUGGGAACCAUCCUAGAGGUACGGAACAGCGCAGGGAAACUUGCGCUAAUACCGUAUACGCUCGAGAGAGGAAAGACUUAUCGCCAUUAGACGGGGCCGCGUCGGAUUAGCUAGUUGGUAAGGUAACUGCUUACCAAGGCGCCGAUCCGUAGCUGAUCUGAGAGGAUGAUCAGACACACUGGGACUGAGACACGGCCCAGACUCCUACGGGAGGCAGCAGUGGGGAAUCUUGGACAAUGGGCGCAAGCCUGAUCCAGCCAUGCCGCGUGAGUGAAGAAGGCCUUCGGGUUGUAAAGCUCUUUUACCAGGGUCGAUAAUGACGGUACCUGGAGAAUAAGCCCCGGCAAACUUCGUGCCAGCAGCCGCCGUAA